AUGCCAGAAUAAAUGUUCAUCAAAGAAGAAAUCCUAUAAAGGGAAAUCUCCUGGACCAGAAGCCAAAGAAAUGAUAUGACUGUUCAGUUUUUAUACCAGAGAGGUUUUCACUGUUUUGACAAAAAUCCUGGCUAAUUUAAGCCCUUGGCAGGAAGCAGGUUAAGUUGAGCCUUUACAUCACCUCUUGGCCCAUUCAAGACUUUAUGAAUUGACUACUGAAUUUCUUCCAUGGAAUCCUGUUUUUCUAGCAUUUAUAAAUCAAUCAAAUACAUACACAUUAGACUCAUUUGCAAAAAUACAACAUCUAACAUGUCUCUCACUUUUUACAAUUCUUUGCUUAGUGACCCCUGGUUAGGAGCCAAGGCCUAAGCUCCUCUGUUAGACAUUGGAGGUUCUCUCAAAUUCCCUACUGAAUGAACCUUUAUGUUCUUGUUUCUCGUAAUCUUAUUAUUUCAAGAGAGAGUUAACUUGCCUGUUUUCUAGGUCACAUUCUUAUAUCUGCAUAUUUGUUUAUGUUAUCUCCUAAAAUUCAUUUUUUUUACUCCUCCCUAUUAGUAAGCCUUACUUGUCUUUUCAAGGAUCAUUAAAUAUCAAAUUUUCAAAGCGAAUUUCUAUUUUACCACUUCAUGGAGUGCUUGGUCAUGUGAAAG